rnacentral:rRNA from 1 species
GCGGACGGGUGAGUAAUGCCUAGGAAUCUGCCUAGUAGUGGGGGACAACGUUUCGAAAGGAACGCUAAUACCGCAUACGCUACGGGAAAGUGGCGCUAUUAGAUGAGCCUAGGUCGGAUUAGCUAGUUGGUAGGGUAAAGGCCUACCAAGGCGACGAUCCGUAACUGGUCUGAGAGGAUGAUCAGUCACACUGGAACUGAGACUCGGUCCAGACUCCUACGGGAGGCAGCAGUGGGGAAUAUUGGACAAUGGGCGAAAGCCUGAUCCAGCCAUGCCGCGUGUGUGAAGAAGGCCUUCGGGUCGUAAAGCACUUUAAGUUGGGAGGAAUGACGUUACCAACAGAAUACGCAACGGCUAACUUCGUGCCAGCAGCCGCGGUAAUACGAAGGGUGCAAGCGUUAAUCGGAAUUACUGGGCGUAAAGCGCGCGUAGGUGGCUUGAUAAGUUGGAUGUGAAAUCCCCGGGCUCA